AUUGAACGCUGGCGGCAGGCCUAACACAUGCAAGUCGAGCGGAGCUGCUGAAGGGUGAGUAAUGACUAGGCAUCUGACUUGUAGAGGAGGAUAAAGUCAGGAAACGAGCGCUAAUCGCGAAUAAUAUAAGAUGUGCCUACGUCUGAUUAGCUAGUUGGUUUGGUAAAGGCCUACCAAGGCGACGAUCCGUAACUGGUCAGAGAGGAUGAUCAAUCACACUGGAACUUAGACACGGUCCAGACUCCUACGGGAGGCAGCAGUGGGGCAUAUUGGGCAAUGGGCGAAAGCCUGAUCCAGCCAUGCCGCGUGUGUGAAGAAGGUCUUCGGAUUGUAAAGCACUUUAAGUUGGGAGGCGUUACCAACAGAAUAAGCACCGGCUAACUUCGUGCCAGCAGCCGCGGUAAUAC
rnacentral:rRNA from 1 species